UACUCGGGGUGCUUGAUGAACUGGGCCACCGCGCGGAGCUCCUGGGGCUCCCCGGCCUGGGGGUAGGAGGAGAUGGAACCCAGCAGCACGAAAUAGACGGCUUUGCGAGCUGUGCGCGUGCCAGAAAUGAGAAGUGCCCCACCCAAUCCUGGGACCACCCCUGCCGGACACCCACGCCCCCCUCUGGCGACUGUACCCCAGGCCCAGGAGGUGGUCACCUGCCCAAAUGCUGCCCAGCUGGCUGACCUGCCACGGCCACUGGCCCGGCUGGGCAUCCUGCCCCGACACGAUGCGGCCUGACACUUGUGGGCGUCCGCACACUGCGGGGUGAGUCCACGGGCCGCUUAUGCGUGGUCCCCUCUGGGCUCCCCUGGCCCUGCAGACCCGCCCUCAUGUAUCCCUGCUGCUCGGGGGUUGGCACCCGGUCCCUUCUCCUCAGGCCCCACGAGGUGCAAUUCUUUGUGACGUAGGACCCCGCGCUCCAGGGGAGGACUCGGGGUGGUGCCCCGCAGCUGAGCUGGGGGAAGCCGGAGCUGGGGCCCUAAAUGGCUCCUGGGACAGCCGGAACGCGGCUCGGUGCGGGUGGACGCUGAGGUCUGGGGUGGCUGAAUGAGGGUCCCCUCCCCCUCCCCGCAUCUGGGCUCCUUGGAGGACCUGCCCCACACAGGCUAUAAGGCGCGGGGCGGGGAUCACACAUCGGCUGCACCUGCCCCUCCUCUCGGCACCCCGAUAUUCGUCCUACCUGAAUCCAGGUCUGUCGCGCUGGCGUUCACCAGGGAGAAGUUGGGUGGGAGAGCAGGGGGGCUCCCCUGCAGAGCCACGGAGAGGAGGGAGAGCAGGCUGGCGGCGAGGGCCGGCGACAUGGUAUGUCCCAGCCACCACUUCCGCGGCUGGCUCUUGGGGUCAGAGUCCUCAGACACUCGGGGGGGGGGGGGGGGGGGGGGGGGAGAAGAUGGCCGCAGCCAAGCCCAGGUUCUGGGCUUGUCCUGGGGUGUGGCUGACUCCUCCGCGCCUUGCCCUUGGGGCUCGGCUCCGCACUGCUCCUGGGCACAGUGUCCUUGGCCUCCGCCACGUCUUCGGCCAGACGCUCGGGACCUUCCCUCCCCCGCCCUGGCCUCACUGGCCUCGCGGCACCAACCACGCCACCAUUUACGGGACACUUCCCGUGUGCGGGCCUGUGUCACCCGUGUCACGUUCCUCCCGACUGAUUCGCCAGGCGCUAUUAUGAUCCCCCUAUGCGGCAGAGGAAGCGGGACUCCCGUGGUGUAAUGACUCACCAGAGGUCGUACAGGUGACAGAGCCACAUACCUCUGUGCUCUGUGCUGGGGCGUCUGGUACCCUGAGAAGGGCGGGGGGGAGAGGAACCGCAGACCCGAGGUCACACCCGGUCUGCCCCCUCGGCCUUCGUGUUCACCCCGGGGCUCUGAAGGGCCCGAGGUGGGGCCGAGAUGCCUGCAGAGUGAGAGGGGCCCGUGAUCCACGGGGGCAGAGCAGCGAGGAGACGCCCCUGGUAUCUCUCCCUGACCGCAAACAGCAAGCGCCUGGAUGGCCGCUGUGCUCCCCUCGCCUCGCCUCUGUAAAGCCCCGUGGGUGGCUGUGGCCGAGAAAGCAGAGCUGACCAGCCUAGGGCGCCGGGCAGGGAGGGACGCAGGACACUUUCCCUGGUGGCUAAGUUUUCUCCUCUCCACAAGCAGCCGUCCUUUCUGAGGCCCCCGCGCCACCUGGCCUCCGCGCACCUCCCUCUCCAGAGGGCUCAUUCCCCCUGGGGGGCCAUGGUGGGGCUCUGAGCAGCCCCAAAUACCUGAUUUAGGUCAAAAUCAUGUUCAGUGAACGCUUUGGCGUUACUGCCUUUCCCACCUACCUGAUCUCUUGAUUUCUGAGGGGAGAAAUGUGAAUUUCCUAGUAUCUGGAGUAUUAAGAACUUAAAAAAAAAUUUUUUUUUUUUUUUUGCUCGAUGUAUUUCAAAGCUCUGUUAUUGGGGGCAUAAGGGCUCAUGCCUCAUGUCUUUUCAGUGACGUGUCACUUGUGACACAGGGCUUGUGACGUGUCAAUGUAAAAAUGUCUGUAUUUCAUUCCUUUCCCCCCCAAAGUUUAUUUAUGGGUUUAUCAAGCCCAUGAACAGUGAGUGAGAUCAUGACCUGAGCGGAAACCAAGAGUUGGACGUUUAACCAGCUGAGCCGCCCGGGUGCCCCCACCCCCCCGCCACCCCGUAUUU